GAGUUUGAUCAUGGCUCAGAUUGAACGCUGGCGGCAGGCCUAACACAUGCAAGUCGAGCGGUAGAGAGAAGCUUGCUUCUCUUGAGAGCGGCGGACGGGUGAGUAAUGCCUAGGAAUCGUGCCUGGUAGUGGGGGAUAACGCUCGGAAACGGACGCUAAUACCGCAUACGUCCUACGGGAGAAAGCAGGGGACCUUCGGGCCUUUAGCGCUAUCAGAUGAGCCUAGGUCGGAUUAGCUAGUUGGUGAGGUAAUGGCUCACCAAGGCGACGAUCCGUAACUGGUCUGAGACGGAUGAUCAGUCACACUGGAACUGAGACACGGUCCAGACUCCUACGGGAGGCAGCAGUGGGGAAUAUUGGACAAUGGGCGAAAAGCCUGAUCCAGCCAUGCCGCGUGUGUGAAGAAGGUCUUCGGAUUGUAAAGCAC
rnacentral:rRNA from 1 species